UGAGCAAUCUGCCCUUCACAUCGGAAUAACCAUUGGAAACGAUGGCUAAUACCGAAUAUGACUUCGGAUCGCAUGAUCUGAAGUGGAAAGCUCCGGCGGUGAAGGAUGAGCCCGCGGCCUAUCAGCUUGUUGGUGAGGUAAUAGCUCACCAAGGCGAUGGACGGGUAGCCGGCCUGAGAGGGUGACCGGCCACACGUGGGACUGAGACACGGCCCAGACUCCG
rnacentral:rRNA from 1 species